rnacentral:tRNA from 1 species
ACGGGUGUAGCUCAGCUGGUAGAGUGGUGGUUUCCAAAACCAUUGGUCGUGGGUUCGAAUCCUACCGCCCGUGCAA